GCAAGUCGAACGAACUCUGGUAUUGAUUGGUGCUUGCAUCAUGAUUUACAUUUGAGUGAGUGGCGAACUGGUGAGUAACACGUGGGAAACCUGCCCAGAAGCGGGGGAUAACACCUGGAAACAGAUGCUAAUACCGCAUAACAACUUGGACCGCAUGGUCCGAGCUUGAAAGAUGGCUUCGGCUAUCACUUUUGGAUGGUCCCGCGGCGUAUUAGCUAGAUGGUGGGGUAACGGCUCACCAUGGCAAUGAUACGUAGCCGACCUGAGAGGGUAAUCGGCCACAUUGGGACUGAGACACGGCCCAAACUCCUACGGGAGGCAGCAGUAGGGAAUCUUCCACAAUGGACGAAAGUCUGAUGGAGCAACGCCGCGUGAGUGAAGAAGGGUUUCGGCUCGUAAAACUCUGUUGUUAAAGAAGAACAUAUCUGAGAGUAACUGUUCAGGUAUUGACGGUAUUUAACCAGAAAGCCACGGCUAACUACGUGCCAGCAGCCGCGGUAAUACGUAGGUGGCAAGCGUUGUCCGGAUUUAUUGGGCGUAAAGCGAGCGCAGGCGGUUUUUUAAGUCUGAUGUGAAAGCCUUCGGCUCAACCGAAGAAGUGCAUCGGAAACUGGGAAACUUGAGUGCAGAAGAGGACAGUGGAACUCCAUGUGUAGCGGUGAAAUGCGUAGAUAUAUGGAAGAACACCAGUGGCGAAGGCGGCUGUCUGGUCUGUAACUGACGCUGAGGCUCGAAAGUAUGGGUAGCAAACAGGAUUAGAUACCCUGGUAGUCCAUACCGUAAACGAUGAAUGCUAAGUGUUGGAGGGUUUCCGCCCUUCAGUGCUGCAGCUAACGCAUUAAGCAUUCCGCCUGGGGAGUACGGCCGCAAGGCUGAAACUCAAAGGAAUUGACGGGGGCCCGCACAAGCGGUGGAGCAUGUGGUUUAAUUCGAAGCUACGCGAAGAACCUUACCAGGUCUUGACAUACUAUGCAAAUCUAAGAGAUUAGACGUUCCCUUCGGGGACAUGGAUACAGGUGGUGCAUGGUUGUCGUCAGCUCGUGUCGUGAGAUGUUGGGUUAAGUCCCGCAACGAGCGCAACCCUUAUUAUCAGUUGCCAGCAUUAAGUUGGGCACUCUGGUGAGACUGCCGGUGACAAACCGGAGGAAGGUGGGGAUGACGUCAAAUCAUCAUGCCCCUUAUGACCUGGGCUACACACGUGCUACAAUGGAUGGUACAACGAGUUGCGAACUCGCGAGAGUAAGCUAAUCUCUUAAAGCCAUUCUCAGUUCGGAUUGUAGGCUGCAACUCGCCUACAUGAAGUCGGAAUCGCUAGUAAUCGCGGAUCAGCAUGCCGCGGUGAAUACGUUCCCGGGCCUUGUACACACCGCCCGUCACACCAUGAGAGUUUGUAACACCCAAAGUCGGUGGGGUAACCUUUAG
rnacentral:rRNA from 1 species